rnacentral:rRNA from 1 species
GAUGAACGCUAGCGGCAGGCCUAAUACAUGCAAGUCGGACGGGAUUCGGGAGCUUGCUUCUGAUGAGAGUGGCGCACGGGUGCGUAACACGUAUGUAACCUACCUUUAUCAGGGGGAUAGCCUCUCGAAAGAGAGAUUAAGCCCGCAUAAAAUCACAGCACAGCAUUGUGUAAUGAUCAAAUAUUUAUAGGAUAAAGAUGGGCAUGCGGAACAUUAGCUAGAUGGCGGGGUAACGGCCCACCAUGGCGACGAUGUUUAGGGGAUCUGAGAGGAUGGCCCCCCACACUGGUACUGAGACACGGACCAGACUCCUACGGGAGGCAGCAGUAAGGAAUAUUGGUCAAUGGGCGGAAGCCUGAACCAGCCAUGCCGCGUGCAGGAAGACGGCCCUACGGGUUGUAAACUGCUUUUAUACGGGAAUAAACCCAGAUACGUGUAUCUGGCUGAAUGUACUGUAAGAAUAAGGAUCGGCUAACUCCGUG